ensembl:lncRNA
AUCACUUUAUCACAUAGUAAAUAUACUUUUUUUAAAUAUGAAAAAUGUUGUUAUGCAAUAAAUCUCCCAAAAUAUAAAUUGUUGUACUUUUUACUUUUACUGACCCACACUUUUGUUGCACAUGAGGCUAUUUUAGUUCUGCUAUUUUGCUUACAUAAAUAAAUAGAUAAGAGUAGCACAUAUACCCUCCUCAUUUUAUGUAUUUGUAGCUUAUAAAUUGAUUGUUUUACACACAGCAUCCAAACACCAGGGAGCGCUGCAGAGAGGGGUUAUUGACAAAACUUUCAGAAAAAGUAAAAAGUAAAUGUGUCUUAAUCAUCUACUUGUCCAGAUUUGAGUGCACAAGUUCAAAAUAACUGCAGAGCAAAGUUUGAGUAUAGAAAGUACAGUGAUCACACAAGCUGCUUUUCCACAAUAUUCAGAAUAAAAUCAAGUCAUUUUACACUAUGUAAGUCCGUGAAGCUUAAAGCAGCUGAUGAAAUUUUAUGGCACAUUGAGCUGCAUGAACUGUGGGCUCAGCUGUGGGCACUUAUUAAGAGGUCACUGUUUGGAACUUUAGUGCAAAUGUGUCCCACGGUUAGUGUGUGUAGACAUGCAGUGUAGUAGAUGCAGUGUACUUUCUCACAGUUAGCAGAACAUUGUUCAAAGACAUCAGUAAAAAUUUGCUACAAAACAAAGUCAUAUUGCAGUUUUUUUCCAUUGUCUUAAAACAUUAGUGAGGUUCCAGUGUUGUUCUUGUAUAUUGACCCUGACAAGAGUUGCUAUAAAUCAGUUUCUUGGGUCAAAACAUAUACCAAAGUUUGUCUAAAGUUCUUGAAUUUGAAAACACAUGAGCUUGAGCUUAGUUCAUGAGCUUCGUUCAGAUAAACUGUGGAAUGUAUGUUUGCAUAGAAUCAGGGCUCUGGAUUGUGUUCCCCAUUAUUUCCAGUUCAGCAUGAACAGGAUGAAAAAUGACAACAAGCAAAUCCUGUUUCAGUAUGACUUUUUUGUAUUAAAAUUAUGUAGCUGACUUUUUUUUAUUAUUAUUAUUUUUUGAGAAAUUCAAGUUUUAAAAAUUCACAUGCUCAAAUUGAAUGGGGUCAAUUCAUAUCCAAACUUUAAGUGAAAACUUCAAAUUACACCACAUCCACCCCUGAGAUUACAGGAAGAUGGCCCACUGGUAGUUAACAACCACACUCUACUGAGUUUAUUAGGUCUUUUAUUUGCUUUUUGUAUUUUGUUGUUUAAAAUUAAUUAACUGAUAAUACCAUAGUAAACCUUGCUUAAAAUUCUGUGGAAAUUAUAUGAUCACAUUGAAAAAAAGCAAUCUAAACAAGAUCAGUAUUUAAUCACAAUUUCUUUUACCAGAUUCUAGCUUCUGAACUUGAUUUAUUCAGUCUGAAAUAUUGAAAACACAUUUUUGAAAUUUUAAAAUCUUUAAUUUUUGAUUCUGUGUUUUAAAACAUUUACAAAAUUUUGAAAGGUUUGAAAUGAGAAAUAAAAAAUUCGGACACAUAAUUGCAGCGCAAAAAAAUGGCUUAACUAUUUACUUUCAUGUUUCAUGCUCACUUUAGAAAUGUGUUUUUUAAAGUGACAUUUGAUGUCACCAUCACUACAUCAACACAGUUUGCAUGUAACUGAUACAAACUCGAGCCAACUAGAUAUAAUCAGUAUGAGGGACAUGGACCAAAGUUUUUCUGUUCUCACAAACCUGCUCUGCGCACUCUCAAAUCCCAACUUGAAGAUUGAUUACCUCAUAAAUUUAUUUUGUCAUCACUUAAUAGUCUCUUCAUUACUCUGCUUCAAUAAAUUCAGUCGUUUGUUUAUGCCACAAGUCAUUGGUAUCGCCUGCAUUAAAGAAUUUAUGAUUUGCAGGAACUUCCUCUCUAAAGGUGAAAUGAGGACCAAAAAUUGGUUAGACGUCUGUUGUGGGAUCAGUUGGACACCAGCUUUUCCUUCUACCACUCUUCACACAGCCAAAUGUUUCUUUGAUUUAAUUUUUUAUUAAAGAAAGGAGAAACAGCAGUUAGUUCAGUGGUGGCUGCAGACUUUAACCAGCAUCGUGUCUGAUGGUUGUUUCCCAGCCUAUACCUCUCAGCUACGUAUGUUGUCAUUUACACCGCCUGUUGAAUGUAGUUUUCUAAGGAGAGAGUGAGGAGGAGGAGGAGGAGGAGGAGGAGGAGGAGGCCGAUGGAGGGAGUCUGAGCAAGCAAAGAGUACAAUCAUAGAAAAAUUUAUUUAUUUCAAGCUCCAACUUGAUGAAAAACAUUUCAUUCAUACAUGCGUAAGUCAAUCUUCAGCCAACAAAGUGGCAACACAAAUGAUCCAGAUGUUUUGAAGGUUUUCGAGGCAUGAUUCUCUCCAAGUAUUUUUCAUUUUUCAAAAAGUCAGAAUAUUUGCAGCUAAUACUCUGAGAUUUUACAUUGGUAGCAGAUUGUAAGAUAUUUUACUGUCAGAUAGUGGUACACUUUUUAUUUCUCCGGGAAAAAAGAAGAGAAGAAGAGAGCCCUGAUAGAAUUGUACUCAAAGCUAUGCAUCCAAAUGAAAUAACACAGGUGUCUUUUCUCUAAACUGAUGUGAAGCUCCAGAUGUUGUCUGAGUUUUGACCUGUGCUGUGUGCGACAUCUGUUGAUGUUUGUUGUAAAUCCGGUGUUUUUAAGACGGUGAAAUACGCGUGUGAACUUGUUGUUGAAUUCACAUGCAUUUAUUAGACUGAUAGUUUGAAGUGUCAUUCAGCGCUGAGCCGUGCUGAUCUGUAUAAUAAAAUGUACAUAUGGACGUUUUAUAGCAGCCUAACAUGGAAUAUUCCUUUUGUAUAUGACUUUUAAUAAAAAGGCUUUUCCCCAGAAAUCUAA